CCUACGGGCGGCAGCAGUAGGGAAUAUUGCUCAAUGGGGGAAACCCUGAAGCAGCAACGCCGCGUGGAGGAUGAAGGUUUUCGGAUUGUAAACUCCUUUUGUUAGAGAAGAUAAUGACGGUAUCUAACGAAUAAGCACCGGCUAACUCCGUGCCAGCAGCCGCGGUAAUACGGAGGGUGCAAGCGUUACUCGGAAUCACUGGGCGUAAAGAGCGCGUAGGCGGGAUAGCAAGUCAGAUGUGAAAUCCUAGGGCUUAACCAUAGAACUGCAUUUGAAACUGUUAUUCUAGAGUAUGGGAGAGGUAGGUAGAAUUCUUGGUGUAGGGGUAAAAUCCGUAGAGAUCAAGAGGAAUACUCAGUGCGAAGGCGACCUGCUAGAACAUGACUGACGCUGAUGCGCGAAAGCGUUGGGAGCAAACAGGAUUAGAUACCCCGGUAGUC
rnacentral:rRNA from 1 species